AAGAAAAUCCAGUGGGAUCUUUUGACAGACAGUCCUCAAGAACUUACCCUUCAAGAUAAUGAAGUAGUAAUAUCAUGCGGCGUCAGAUUUACGACUUCUGGAGCCAAGCUCAGCGAAACUUUUAAGGUCACAUUGGAUCAUAAUGCACAUUUCACCAAUCCAAGACGUGCAGAGAUCGUCUUCUACACCCGCAACAAAGACUCAACAACUUUUGUGAGAAUUCCCGCAUCCAUGGACGGUUGUCCGGCACGUUGUGACGUCAGAUCGAAGGACUUGGAUCUCUACGUAGAUCAUUUUAGUGAUUGGUGGAUUGUGGCCGUUUUCACUCGGUACUUCAUCGGAAAGAGGGUCCGGUGCACGCCAUAUGUACGACCACCUGUCACGAAAGGGUUGACGCACUUACUGCUACUUUGCAUAUAUGACGAUCUCGUGGAUGUUAAUAAG